UUCUUACGAAAAAUUUAAAGGUCAAACAAUUUUUAAAUAAAUCCACAACGGAAAACCGACUUUUUUAGUAAAGUUUUUAUUUAAUAUUAAUGUAAAUAAGUUUUUUUGCUAAGUCAUUCUAAAUUCAUAAUCGCAAAUUGAAACUUUACAGUAAUAAAUAAAAAAAUGUAGUGAACUGAAUCAUCUAAGUAACUAGCUUAAAAAAAUCAACCGAGAAUAUUGUAAGUAGUGGCGAGCGAAAACAAAAACGACUUUUAAAAUAUUUAUAACAAAUUAUUUAAUUUAAAAGCUCUCUAAAAACUAGCUUUUAAAAAAGUCCAAAGAAGGUAACGAGCUGAAAAUAAAGUCCCGUAUAAUUAAAUAAAAAAUAAAUUGGUGAAAAACUAUUAAAACGCUACAAGUCGUGUAGUGUUUGAAUUUUGAGGAACCACCCGCAAAGUCUAAAACUUUUUGAUGUUAAAUAGCGUAAAGUACCGUAAGGGAAAGGUGAAAUAGCAUUUGUGAAAUUGAAAAGCCCUGAAAUUUAAUGCUGACAAUUAGUUGAAGCUUUUUCAAAAGUGACAGCGUUCCUUUUGCAUAAUGAAUCAACGAGUUUAUUUAAAUGGCAAGCUUAAGUUAAGAAACGUAGGCGCAAAGAAACUAAGUCUAAAUAAGGCAGUAUACAUUAAUUAUCCAAAACACUUUCAGAGUAUAUUUACAUACCAGGAUUGGAAGAUACUAAUUUUCAGCAAAUUCAAAGCAUGCGUGCUCACCUACAAAACAUUCCCAUCACAUAAGAGCCUUGUUUCGGAGUUUGUAGAACCACUUAUAACUAUGGUAAAAGAUGUAGUGCCGUUGCUGAAGCCUAAAGAAAGUAGUUUUUAUGAUUUUUUCUUUGUUGGCCUUCAAUCGAAGAGUAACUCCAAAUAUCGACAUACCGGUGUAAUUAAUAAAAGUCAUUUAAAUAAGACCCGAAACUAAGUGAUCUAACCAUGAACAGGUUGAAAUUAAAGCGGUAACGCUUUUCGGAGGACCGAACUCGUGUAUGUUGAAAAAUACUGAGAUGAUUUGUGGUUAGGGGUGAAAGGCCAAACAAACUUAGAGAUAGCUGGUUUUCUGCGAAAUCUAUUUAAGUAGAGCGUUUAAAAACUUUAUUAAUAAGGUAGAGCACUCAUUAAAUAAGGGAAACGUAAAGUUUUACUGAAUUUAAUGAAACUCCGAAUAUUCAAUAAAAGAAUUUAAGCAGACAGACUAUAAGUGCUAAGAUUUAUAGUCAAAAGGGAAACAGCCCAGAUUACCUGUUAAGGUCCUUAAAAGUAAUUAAGUGGUAAAGAUAGUAAAAAAAUUCAAACAACCAGUAGGUAGGCUUGGAAGCAGCCAUCCUUUGAAGAAAGCGUAACAGCUCACAGGUUUAAUUUUUUUGCGUCGAAAAUGUACAGGGGCUAAAAUUGCUUACCGAAACAGUAAAUUUAAAAUAUUUUUUAAAUGGUAGCAGAACGUUCAGUAGUAUUAAGAAAGGUUUUUGGUAACAUAAACUGAAGAUAUCUGAAUCGUCAAUGUUGAUAUGAGUAACGAAUAACAAUGUAAAUUAAACCAUUGUCAUCUUAAGUUUAAGGUUUCCAGUGGGAAGGUUAAACCUCCCUGGUUAUUAUUAACCGGUCUCUAAGAAAAAAACGAAAGUUUUUAAUUUGAUGAGUAAUUAAAGUAAAAUUCUUUGUUAGAUUUAUAUAGUGACAAAAUAUAAAGAUUAUUUUUAUUUUCAAGGUAUAAAUAAAAGUUUUUUAAUAUUUUCAAGAAAUAGCUUUAAAUUUUUAAAAACCGUACCGUAAACCGACACAGGUAAACAAAUUUAGUAAAUUAAGAUGUUUGAGAGAAUUGUAUUGAAGGAACUCGGCAAAAUGACUCCGUAACUUUGGAAUAAGGAGUAGCCUUUAAAGGGUAACCUUUAAAAGUUGGCACAUAAUCGAGGACAGCGACUGUUUAAUAAAAACACAGGUCUCUGCUAAUUUGUAAAAAGAUGUAUAGAGACUGACGCCUGCCCGGUGCUGUAAGGCUAACGAAAAAAGUUUUGGCUUUGAUCUAAAACCCCAGUAAACGGCGGCUGUAACUCUGACGGUCCAAAGGUAGCGAAAUUCCUUGGCAUUUAAUUGGUGUCCUGCAUGAAUGGCGUAACGACUGUCCUACUGUCUCCAAUGCAAACUCAGUGAAAUUAAAGUCUCCGUGAAGAUGCGGAGCUUCUGCGGCUAGACGGAAAGACCCCGUGCACCUUUACUAUAAUCUCGUAUUGUAUUAAAAAUUUUUAUGUACAGCAUAGGUGGAAAGUUAUUAAAAUACUUUUACAUAAGUAAACUGUUUAAACAACAAUGAAAUACCACUCUUAAAACUUUUUAUUACUAUUAAAAAAAUCUUGCGUGAUGGGUAGUUUGACUGGGGCGGUCACCUCCUAAAAAGUAACGGAGGUGUACAAAAGGUAAGUUCAUGUUGUAAAUUUAAAUCAACUGUAGAGCGUAAUAGUAAAUUACUUGCCUGACUGUAAGAUUGACAAAUCGAACAGGAACGAAAGUUGGUUAUAGUGAUCCGAUGAUUCUGUGUGGAAAAGAUUAUCGCUCAACGAAUAAAAGGUACGCCGGGGAUAACAGGCUAAUUACUCUCUAGAGACCCUAUCGACGGAGUAGUUUGGCACCUCGAUGUUGGAUUAUCGCAUCCUGGAGCUGUAAGCGGUUCCAAGGGUUUGGCUGUUCGCCAAGAAAGGCGGUACAUGAUCUGAGUUUAGAACGUCGUGAGACAGUUUGGUCCCUAUCUACCGUAGACUAAAAAACUAAGAGGAGUAGACUAUAGUACGAGAGGACCUAGAAAAGUGAAUCUAUUGUGUAUCGGUUGUUAUACCCUAUAGCAUGCCGAGUAGCUACAUUCAUAAUAUAUAAUCGCUGAAAGCAUCUAAGCGAGAAUUUAACCUUAAGAUAGUUUAAAAAAAACACGUAGAAAACUACUACGAAAUAGGAUUUAAAUGCCAAUUUAGUGUUUAAAAUUACUAAACAGUUUAACACUACUGAAAUACUUGUAGAGAAUAU
rnacentral:rRNA from 1 species